rnacentral:rRNA from 1 species
CUAUGGCUGCGUGGGACCUUGGUGGUAGUAGUCAAGCGAUGGGGUGACGCAGGAAGGUAGCAGGGCCAAGCGAUGGUUGUCUUGGUGUAAGCCGGUAGGGCGGAACAUAGGUAAAUCCGUGUUCCAUGAUGCCUGAGAGGUGAUGCGUAGCCGUUGAGGCGAAUUCUGUGAUCCUAUGCUGCCGAGAAAAGCCUCUAGUGAGUUGGUACACGGCCCGUACCCCAAACCGACACAGGUGGUCAGGUAGAGAAUACUAAGGCGAUCGAGAGAACUGUGGUUAAGGAACUCGGCAAAUUGCCCCCGUAACUUCGGGAGAAGGGGGACCAUGUCUGGUGAUGGCACUUGCUGCCUGAGCUGGGUGUGGUCGCAGAGACCAGAGAGAAGCGACUGUUUACUAAAAACACAGGUCCGUGCGAAGUCGUAAGACGAUGUAUACGGACUGACGCCUGCCCGGUGCUGGAAGGUUAAGAGGACCGGUUAGUCACCCUUGUGGUGGCGAAGCUGAGAAUUUAAGCCCCAGUAAACGGCGGUGGUAACUAUAACCAUCCUAAGGUAGCGAAAUUCCUUGUCGGGUAAGUUCCGACCUGCACGAAUGGCGUAACGACUUCUCUGCUGUCUCAACCACAGACUCGGCGAAAUUGCAGUACGAGUAAAGAUGCUCAUUACGCGCGGCAGGACGAAAAGACCCCGGGACCUUCACUAUAGCUUGGUAUUGGUGUUCGGUACGGUUUGUGUAGGAUAGGUGGGAGACUGUGAAGUGGGCACGCCAGUGUUCAUGGAGUCAUUGUUGAAAUACCACUCUGAUCGUAUUGGGCUUCUAACCUCGGACCCUGAUCGGGUUCAGGGACAGUGCCUGGUGGGUAGUUUAACUGGGGCGGUUGCCUCCUAAAAUGUAACGGAGGCGCCCAAAGGUUCCCUCAGCCUGGAUGGCAAUCAGGUGUUGAGUGUAAGUGCACAAGGGAGCUUGACUGUGAGACGUACAUGUCGAGCAGGGACGAAAGUCGGGACUAGUGAUCCGGCACCGGCAAGUGGAAGCGGUGUCGCUCAACGGAUAAAAGGUACCCCGGGGAUAACAGGCUGAUCUUCCCCAAGAGUCCAUAUCGACGGGAUGGUUUGGCACCUCGAUGUCGGCUCGUUGCAUCCUGGGGCUGGAGUAGGUCCCAAGGGUUGGGCUGUUCGCCCAUUAAAGCGGCACGCGAGCUGGGUUUAGAACGUCGUGAGACAGUUCGGUCUCUAUCCGCCGCGCGCGUCUAGAAACUUGAGGAAACCUGUCCCUAGUACGAGAGGACCGGGACGGACGAACCUCUGGUGUGCCAGUUGUUCCGCCAGGAGCACCGCUGGUUAGCUACGUUCGGAAGGGAUAACCGCUGAAAGCAUCUAAGCGGGAAGCCUGUUCCAAGAUGAGGUUUCUCACCCACCAUUGGUGGGGUAAGGCCCCCCACAGACUAUGGGGUUGAUAGGCCAGAACUGUACGCACAGCAAUGUGUUCAGGUGACUGGUACUAAUCGGCCGAGGACUUACC